UACCCACUAAGUAUGUUCUUGGUAUAAGCUGUUGUGUGCAUGCACACAAAAGCUUAUACCAAGAACAAACUUAGUUGGUC